rnacentral:rRNA from 1 species
GCUUACGGCCACACCGCCUGGUUCACGCCCCGAUCUCGGAAGCUAACAUAGGUUGGGCCUGGUUAGUACUUGGAUGGGGAGACCGCCUGGGAAUACCAGGUGCUGUAAGCU